GCAUUUGUUGUUAGUUCACGCAUCAAACCAGUAGGAUGGAGCUUAAACAUUUACUCCAUUUGGUAUUCUACGUUUGCCUAUCCGGAUCCUCGGAAAUGAUUUCUCCAACGGAAAGCAUGUUCGGAGAGACGAUCUUCCAAACUGUGUUUAGCUGUGUCGAGAAAUUUGAAGGCGUGGAAGAAAGUGGUCAUAAAGUGUACAUCGAAUUGGAUGAAGACCAGGAAGAAAGAUGUAUGAAACUUAUCGACCAACGACACAAUUGCAGUGUAGAACAAGAAACUGAGUGUACGAUUGAUGUUUUGAGGAAAGUUGGUCGAGAUAUGCUUUUGAGCAGUCCAUUGACUGAUUGGCUUAUUUUUUAUAUGGGAUCGAAUAGAAGACUGACAUUGGAGUAAUAAGUGUGUUAUAAAUAACUUGUUUAUGGUUCUCAGGUUCAAGCAUAAUCAUAAGAAAUGAAUAUGGAUAAUUUUCCGCCGAUUCCACUUCCGGAGUGGUUACAUAGACUCCAUUCACAAACGAGUAUUUCAACAAACCCUACGAGUUCGAGUACCUUGACAUUGUCUAAUCGAGACCGAUGGACCACGAGGAUUAUGAUGGAGAGCCCGCAGCACUUAUUCUGCCCUAGUCAGCUGCCACACUCCUCAUUUAUCUGGAUUACCUUAUACUGGGGAAAUUAAACAAGAUAAAAAUAUCGUUCUACAUAGUUCAGACAAUAAAUGACGGGUAACAGAGUAGAUACAUGGACAUUUGAUAUCAAUCUUGUUUCGGACACUUUCCUCUCUGCAUGAAAAAUCGGCAGCCUUGACGCAUGUUCAAGAAAUAAAAUCUUAAUAAAAAUAAUCAGCUAUCUGUAAAGAGCAACUACAUAAUUAUGCACAGUGGCUUAUGCAAUAAUC